rnacentral:lncRNA from 1 species
GAGAGAAACUCCACCUCAAGCAAACAAACAAAAAAACCAAUCUGCGUGGUCUUCCUCAUUUCAUUUCAUCUUUAUUCGUGAGUUUUGCAACUUGAGAUAGGAAAAUAGUAAUCUGUGUGUUUUUCUUUUGGUUAAUGAGACAGCAUUACAUUUUCUGCCUAUAGAAACAGCAAAUGGAAGACCCUGAGACAGGAGACUGCCUGAUACACGCAAGUUCCAGCAAGAGUCCACGGCAGCUAAGUCACAGUGAGCAAGGGGAACAAGGAUGAGAGAUGCAGUCAAAGAGGCCAUCGUGAGGGCUCUUGUCGGUCGGCCAUGGUGCCGGGAGCAAAGAGAUGAUUAAGACACCAUCCCAGGCCUCAAGCCCCACGAAACGCAGGGGAAGCGCCAUGCUAUGCAGCCAGCAAUCGUUUUACCUUUUAAGAGCUCUGAGAGAGACACCCACUGGAAAGGGGUGCAGAGGACCCCAGAGGAUCAACUAACCCAGUGUGGGAGGGUCAGGGAAAGCUUCAUAGAGGCCGUGACCCUUAGGGCAAAUCUUGAGAGGAAGAUGGCCAGGCAGAGGAAAUGGGAAAGUCUGUUCCAGCACCAUAUUUGCUAGAUUCUUGGCACUUUAUGUAUAGCAUCUCCUUUAAUCUUCACAACUACCCUGCUGCACAGCAUUUUAGAGGUGAGGAAACUAAGGCUGAGAGAGAUUAAGUUACUUGCCCAAGGGUACACAGAGACAAAGCCAGGACUAACUCAUAACAAAGUGGGUAGGUUUUGUUUAUUUUGCAUGUCAGAUUGCUUCUAGAAAUAACAGCAGGCUUCCUAUUAAUUCCAGGUGAGGUCCUGCUAUUUUAUAAUUGUGGUUUGUUCUUUCAAUGCCAGGAGCAUGUGGUGUAUGGAUCCCCCCUUACACCAGUACUGUGCACUCCUCCUGAUGAUGGAGAGAUUGGGAGGGACCACCUGGCUAGGAUUGCUGGCUCUCCUGACACCUUCUCGUGGCAUCCAUGUGGUUUAUCCAGUUUUCUGAAAAUGAUACCUGCAAUAUAUCAGACAGAAGCUGAUCCAUUAGCUCAGGUUCGUCAGGUCCAGAGGGAAGAUGACAUGGACGGGAACCACAGCUGACCCAUAAUGGACAUUAAGGUGAGAAAUAAAUCUUUGUUUUUAUAAGCCACUGAGGUUUGUGGAGGUCAUUUUUUACCACAGCGUAACUUAGCCUAAGCUGACAGAUAAAUAAGUUUUAAGAGAGAUAGAAUUCCAUUUACCUGCAUUUAUAUUAUGAAUCCCAGUAAGCUUAGACUAGAUAAUCUAUAAGACAUCUACUUCUUCUAACUUAGAAAAGGAAUUUAUUCAGGGAGAUAUUAAGUAGCUCUUAGAGGCAAGGCUGAAGUUUGGAGUGUGGGCAGGCACCAAAGGGAAUCCACGAGGCUGGAGCUGCAGCCAUGGCCGGAACGUGAAUGACCUGAUUAAGAUGCUGUCACUGUUAGGUACUGGAAACUGCCACUGGCAUUCUGGACACUAGCACCAAUGGUGGUCACUAGAUACUAGAGGGUACCACUACCUGUGCCAGAAUGAACCCUGAACUAAUGCAGCAUCUCUUUGUUGCUUGCCCAAGACUCAGCUCUUCAAAGAGAGUAUCUGAUUGGCUAGUCUUGGGUCUCGUUUCUGUAUUUUUGUUGUCAGGGUACUGGAAGAGCAAGUGUCUCUCCAUUGGGACUUUUAUAAUGAAAAGACUCACAAGAUAGUUGGUUUCUUAAGUGUCGGAAGGACUUUCAGAUGCUAACCAAACCGCAUCCCCUACAAAAGACAAAUAUCCCCCACAAACUUAGAAGAUAAGCAAACUUGACUGGGCGCAGUGGCUCACUCUUAUAAUCCCAGCGCUUUGGGAGGCCGAGGUGGGCAGAUCACCUGAUGUCAGGAGUUCAAGACCAGCCUGGCCAACAU